CGGGCUGGCCGGGCGACCGCGUGACCCCCGCCGUGAGGCGACGGGUCCCGAGGAAAGUCCGGGCUCCACAGAGCAGGGUGGUGGGUAACACCCACCCGGGGUGACCCGCGGGACAGUGCCACAGAGAACAGACCGCCUCCGGCUCGCCGGAGGUAAGGGUGAAACGGUGGGGCAAGAGCCCACCAGUGCGCCGGGUGACCGGCGCAGCUCGGCAAACCCCACCCGGAGCAAGACCAGACAGCACACGACGGCCUCGGCCGAGAGGGUGACUCGCCCGAGUGUGCGGGUAGGUCGCUGGAGGCUGCCGGCAACGGCAGUCCUAGAUGGAUGGUCGCCACGACAGAACCCGGCUUACAGGCCAGCCCGUCCC
rfam:Pimelobacter simplex strain VKM Ac-2033D, complete genome.